AUACUUAGUUAAUAAUAAGGUAAAGAUCGUAUUCCGAUUGUUUGGCGUGCAUUUGAAAAUUGGUCAACAAUUUAUAACCGCAAACGAAUUUUCUGGUCAGUUGUAUUUUCGAGAAAAAGAGAUCUGCAGUACUUAUAUCAUAGCUAACUACUAAAGUUACUGGACGUGUUUAAACAAUUAUUCCGAAAACACGUUUUUUUUUGUUUGCAUCAGGAAUCAUACAAUAUCAACGUUUUAUAAACAAGAGGAAGAAGUCAAGUUUGUUCUUGUCAAGAAAAUCAAUUUAAACUCUUAGGUCAUUUUUAAUUUGAUGUAUGAUGAAUAAUAUUACACAAGACCUACUUGUGUCUUUCAAAAAUUUUGGAGAGCUUGUGAUUUUGUCUACAAAAUUAUUCAUAGACUAUAAUAGAUUUAUAAUUAAUAGUGUAAUUCGUUGUCCUGAUAAAGAAGACAUGAACGAAGAAACUGAGGAAUCAAAAAAUAAGCAGCAUGAAUUGAAAAGAAGAUUAGAGAUUGCAGUAGAGAUGCAGGCAAAUAUUUUAGAGAUUGCAAACAAACUUAUCAGAAGUUUAGAAGAGUUGCAAGAGUUGCUAAGAGAAUUUGUAAUUGAGAUUACCAAACAUAAAUCCUCCUAUGGUGAGGUGAUUGUUCAGACUUUUGAAACAUUACCAGAGGAUAAAAAACUUGCUUGCUUUAUCGCUUUCAUGGAUACAAUUGAGAAGUUUCGACAAGAAUAGCAUGGAAGUUUUAGAAAUAGGUCAGAGCUUAUAUACAAAUUAAAUACUUAUGAUAUGCUAAUAUCGUUAAAUGCAAAAUAAAUGUUUCAAAAUUUUUGCAGUAAGAUAUUGAGUACACACAUAAAGAAAGGAAUUCAAAACAAGUAUAAGAUGUUUAAGUACAACAAGUCCAACAAGUAAUAGCAAUCAUUAACAGUGUUUAAACUGUAAAUAACAAAAUUGUGUUUUGUUGUGUAAACAACUAAUAAGAUAAAAUAUCCUGUUAAUUUUUUUUUAAUGAGUGAUCAAUGCACUCAGGACAUUUUAAGUAAUUCAUUGUAUAACUUUUUUGUUAGAAUAACAGUAAGUAAAAAUGUAAAAACACUAUGAUGUAUAUAAUAAUUUUUAAAAUAUAAUGUUGGUAUUAAAUCAUAUUUAAAUGCAAAUUGCAAAAAGACUGUGAAAACUUAGAUGUUUUUUUUAAACAUUUAAAUUAAUCUUGAAUAAGAUGUAUAUUAAUUAAAAAUAAGGAUACUUUUGCUUA